rnacentral:lncRNA from 1 species
UAACUCAUCAAAGCAGAAACUUUCUGGAAGCAAUCUGACAACAGCAUGUCUCCAAAGACCUUCAAGUGGCUCCCCUACCUUUGCUCUUUGUAGUUUCCUUACCAAGAGCUUCCUGAAAGAGAUUUCAGUUGGAUUAAAAUUCCUCCAGCCUCAACGAACUGCAAGGGGGACAUCUGAUGCUAAAAACGGGCAUCUUUUGUGUGUUUUUUUUGUUUCAUAUAUAUUUAAUAUAAUAGAACUGUGUUUCAUAUCCCACUAAUUCUAAAAAAAGCAGUAAAGAACUUUGUAGUUCAUUUGAAGUUAGCC